rnacentral:tRNA from 1 species
GCCUGGGUGGCUCAGUCGGUUGAGCGUCUGACUUCAGCUCAGGUCACGAUCUCACGGUCCGUGAGUUCGAGCCCCGCAUCGGGCU